rnacentral:lncRNA from 1 species
AGCAUUUGUUCAAGGAAAGAACAAGGCUCUGUGUGCUGUGUGACUGUAUCAAUAGUCACGGGCAAACAGAUUCCGGCAGGAGAAAAGAAUGGAAAGUGGGCGGUGGGGACAAUGCAGCAGCUGUGUUGAAAGGAAAUCUUAAAAUGGGUGCCUAUAUGUUUCUAAUUACCUGGAGCCAGCAAAUGUGACCAGAGGGUGAGCUUCCCAUCUCCGACUCAUCUCCAGGGGUGGGUUCUCUGGGACCAAGAAAGCUGUGACUUCUGGGUCAGCUGCUCUGCCACUCCUUCCCCUUGAAGCUUUGUCCCUAUUCAAGUAACAGAAAGCAAACUAGAAAGUGGCCACGAAAGCACAGAGUUCAAGCACACAGAAGGAAGAGAGAGAGCCGCUGUCUUCCUGUGGUCAUGAUGCAUGAAGCUAUUUGCUGGAGUUGCCCGAGAAGCUGAGCCUGAUGGCUGUGGUCUAUUUUUGGAUGGGUCAAGCUGGUUAUAAAAAGCGUGUGCCAACUUGAAGAUGAAGAAAUGAGCUUUCUAUGGAGGGAAAUAAAACUAACUUGAAUGAGGCCGGGAAAGAAACUUAAUUCAGUUAAAAAUUCUGGAGAAGGCCAAGAUACUUAAUAAAGUACUUUUUUGUCAAGUGUGUGUGUGUGUGUGUGUGUGUGUGUAACUAGAGAGAGGGGGGGAUGAAGUAUUCUAGGCAAAGAUCUAUUUCCCUUACUUUGUGGAUUUCAUGGCUCAGACAGAAGAGGAGUUAAACUGCAGUAGUGCCAGGAAGUAACAGAGCAAAAGUCACCUGGCUGUUACUUGGAACAAGUUCUGUGUAACCAGUUACCAUUUCUCAAGUGUUCUGAAAGUGAGCCAAGAGCUGUCUGCAGAAGUGGCGGCCGGCUAAGCAGCAGCAU